UACAGAGACUGCAAGCGUUAUUCGGAUUCACUGGGCGUAAAGGGUGCGCAGGCGGUUGGGUGUGUCAGAUGUGAAAUCCCGAGGCUUAACCUCGGAACUGCGUCUGAAACUACUCGACUAGAGUACUGGAGAGGGUAACGGAAUUCACGGUGUAGCAGUGAAAUGCGUAGAUAUCGUGAGGAACACCAGAGGCGAAAGGCGGUUACCUGGACAGUUACUGACGCUCAGGCACGAAAGCAUGGGGAGCAAAAGGG
rnacentral:rRNA from 1 species